rnacentral:rRNA from 1 species
GAUGAACGCUAGCUACAGGCUUAACACAUGCAAGUCGAGGGGUAACAAGAGGAAAGCUUGCUUUUCUUGUUGACGACCGGCGCACGGGUGAGUAACGCGUAUCCAACCUGCCUAUAACUAGGGAAUAACCUUGCGAAAGUAAGACUAAUACCCUAUGAUUUCCUUUGAUGACAUCAGAUUAGGAAUAAAGAUUUAUCGGUUAUAGAUGGGGAUGCGCCUGAUUAGCUUGUUGGCGGGGUAACGGCCCACCAAGGCAACGAUCAGUAGGGGUUCUGAGAGGAAGGUCCCCCACAUUGGAACUGAGACACGGUCCGAACUCCUACGGGAGGCAGCAGUGAGGAAUAUUGGUCAAUGGGCGGAAGCCUGAACCAGCCAAGUAGCGUGCAGGAUGACGGCCCUAUGGGUUGUAAACUGCUCUUAUACAGGAAUAAAGUUAGCCACGUGUGGUUAUUUGUAGGUACUGUAUGAAUAAGGACCGGCUAAUUCCGUGCCAGCCGCCGCGGUAA